rnacentral:rRNA from 1 species
UCGAGGAUCUUCGGCAAUGGGCGAAAGCCUGACCGAGCGACGCCGCGUGCGGGAUGAAGGCCUUCGGGUUGUAAACCGCUGUCAGUGGGGAGGAAAUGCUGGAGGGAACACCCUUCAGCUUGACCUAUCCGCAGAGGAAGGACGGGCUAAGUUCGUGCCAGCAGCCGCGGUAAUACGAACCGUCCUAACGUUAUUCGGAAUCACUGGGCUUAAAGGGUGCGUAGGCGGCCCGAUAAGUUGGGUGUGAAAUCCCUCGGCUCAACCGAGGAAUAGCGCUCAAAACUGUCGGGCUUGAGGAAGAUAGAGGUAAGCGGAACUUAGGGUGGAGCGGUGAAAUGCGUUGAUAUCCUAAGGAACACCGGUGGCGAAAGCGGCUUACUGGGUCUUUUCUGACGCUGAGGCACGAAAGCUAGGGUAGCGAACG